GUCGAGAAUCUUCCGCAAUGCGCGAAAGCGUGACGGAGCGACACCGCGUGAUGGAUGAAGUCCUUCGGGGCGUAAACAUCUUUUAUAAAGGAGGAAAUUUUUGACGUUACUUUAUGAAUAAGGGGCUCCCAAUCUCGUGCCAGCAGGAGCGGUAAUACGAGAGCCUCAAGCGUUAUCCGGAAUCAUUGGGCGUAAAGGGUGCGUAGGUGGUUUGAUUAGUCUCCCGUUAAAACUUCGAGCUUAACUCGAAAAGAGCGGGGGAAACGGUCAAACUAGAGUAUGUAAGAGGUGUGUGGAACUCAUGGUGUAGGGGUGAAAUCCGUUGAUAUCAUGGGGAACACCAAAAGCGAAGGCAGCACACUGGCACAUCACUGACACUGAGGCACGAAACCUAAGGUAGCGAAUGGGAUUAGAAACCCGUGUAGUCC
rnacentral:rRNA from 1 species